rnacentral:rRNA from 5 species
UUAAGUUAGAAAGGGCGCACGGUGGAUGCCUUGACACUAGGAGUCGAUGAAGGACGGGACUAACGCCGAUAUGCUUCGGGGAGCUGUAAGUAAGCUUUGAUCCGAAGAUUUCCGAAUGGGGAAACCCACCAUACGUAAUGGUAUGGUAUCCUUAUCUGAAUACAUAGGGUAAGGAAGACAGACCCAGGGAACUGAAACAUCUAAGUACCUGGAGGAAGAGAAAGCAAAUGCGAUUUCCUGAGUAGCGGCGAGCGAAACGGAACAUAGCCCAAACCAAGAGGCUUGCCUCUUGGGGUUGUAGGACAUUCUAUACGGAGUUACAAAGGAACGAGGUAGACGAAGCGACCUGGAAAGGUCCGUCGUAGAGGGUAACAACCCCGUAGUCGAAACUUCGUUCUCUCUUGAAUGUAUCCUGAGUACGGCGGAACACGUGAAAUUCCGUCGGAAUCUGGGAGGACCAUCUCCCAAGGCUAAAUACUCCCUAGUGAUCGAUAGUGAACCAGUACCGUGAGGGAAAGGUGAAAAGCACCCCGGAAGGGGAGUGAAAGAGAUCCUGAAACCGUGUGCCUACAAAUAGUCAGAGCCCGUUAACGGGUGAUGGCGUGCCUUUUGUAGAAUGAACCGGCGAGUUACGAUCCCGUGCGAGGUUAAGCUGAAGAGGCGGAGCCGCAGCGAAAGCGAGUCUGAAUAGGGCGUUUAGUACGUGGUCGUAGACCCGAAACCAGGUGAUCUACCCAUGUCCAGGGUGAAGUUCAGGUAACACUGAAUGGAGGCCCGAACCCACGCACGUUGAAAAGUGCGGGGAUGAGGUGUGGGUAGCGGAGAAAUUCCAAUCGAACCUGGAGAUAGCUGGUUCUCCCCGAAAUAGCUUUAGGGCUAGCCUUAAGUGUAAGAGUCUUGGAGGUAGAGCACUGAUUGGACUAGGGGUCCUCAUCGGAUUACCGAAUUCAGUCAAACUCCGAAUGCCAAUGACUUAUCCUUAGGAGUCAGACUGCGAGUGAUAAGAUCCGUAGUCAAAAGGGAAACAGCCCAGACCGCCAGCUAAGGUCCCAAAGUGUGUAUUAAGUGGAAAAGGAUGUGGAGUUGCUUAGACAACUAGGAUGUUGGCUUAGAAGCAGCCACCAUUUAAAGAGUGCGUAAUAGCUCACUAGUCGAGUGACUCUGCGCCGAAAAUGUACCGGGGCUAAAUACACCACCGAAGCUGCGGAUUGAUACCGAAUGGUAUCAGUGGUAGGGGAGCGUUCUAAGGACAGUGAAGUCAGACCGUAAGGACUGGUGGAGUGCUUAGAAGUGAGAAUGCCGGUAUGAGUAGCGAAAGACGGGUGAGAAUCCCGUCCACCGAAUGCCUAAGGUUUCCUGAGGAAGGCUCGUCCGCUCAGGGUUAGUCAGGACCUAAGCCGAGGCCGACAGGCGUAGGCGAUGGACAACAGGUUGAUAUUCCUGUACCACCUCUUUAUCGUUUGAGCAAUGGAGGGACGCAGAAGGAUAGAAGAAGCGUGCGAUUGGUUGUGCACGUCCAAGCAGUUAGGCUGAUAAGUAGGCAAAUCCGCUUAUCAUAAAGGCUGAGCUGUGAUGGGGAAGCUCCUUAUGGAGCGAAGUCUUUGAUUCCCCGCUGCCAAGAAAAGCUUCUAGCGAGAUAAAAGGUGCCUGUACCGCAAACCGACACAGGUAGGCGAGGAGAGAAUCCUAAGGUGUGCGAGAGAACUCUGGUUAAGGAACUCGGCAAAAUGACCCCGUAACUUCGGGAGAAGGGGUGCUUUCUUAACGGAAAGCCGCAGUGAAUAGGCCCAAGCGACUGUUUAGCAAAAACACAGCUCUCUGCGAAGCCGUAAGGCGAAGUAUAGGGGGUGACACCUGCCCGGUGCUGGAAGGUUAAGGAGAGGGGUUAGCGUAAGCGAAGCUCUGAACUGAAGCCCCAGUAAACGGCGGCCGUAACUAUAACGGUCCUAAGGUAGCGAAAUUCCUUGUCGGGUAAGUUCCGACCCGCACGAAAGGUGUAACGAUUUGGGCACUGUCUCAACCAGAGACUCGGUGAAAUUAUAGUACCUGUGAAGAUGCAGGUUACCCGCGACAGGACGGAAAGACCCCGUGGAGCUUUACUGUAGCCUGAUAUUGAAUUUUGGUACAGUUUGUACAGGAUAGGCGGGAGCCAUUGAAACCGGAGCGCUAGCUUCGGUGGAGGCGCUGGUGGGAUACCGCCCUGACUGUAUUGAAAUUCUAACCUACGGGUCUUAUCGACCCGGGAGACAGUGUCAGGUGGGCAGUUUGACUGGGGCGGUCGCCUCCUAAAGUGUAACGGAGGCGCCCAAAGGUUCCCUCAGAAUGGUUGGAAAUCAUUCGUAGAGUGCAAAGGCAUAAGGGAGCUUGACUGCGAGACCUACAAGUCGAGCAGGGACGAAAGUCGGGCUUAGUGAUCCGGUGGUUCCGCAUGGAAGGGCCAUCGCUCAACGGAUAAAAGCUACCCCGGGGAUAACAGGCUUAUCUCCCCCAAGAGUCCACAUCGACGGGGAGGUUUGGCACCUCGAUGUCGGCUCAUCGCAUCCUGGGGCUGUAGUCGGUCCCAAGGGUUGGGCUGUUCGCCCAUUAAAGCGGUACGCGAGCUGGGUUCAGAACGUCGUGAGACAGUUCGGUCCCUAUCCGUCGUGGGCGUAGGAAAUUUGAGAGGAGCUGUCCUUAGUACGAGAGGACCGGGAUGGACGCACCGCUGGUGUACCAGUUGUUCUGCCAAGGGCAUAGCUGGGUAGCUAUGUGCGGAAGGGAUAAGUGCUGAAAGCAUCUAAGCAUGAAGCCCCCCUCAAGAUGAGAUUUCCCAUAGCGUAAGCUAGUAAGAUCCCUGAAAGAUGAUCAGGUUGAUAGGUUCGAGGUGGAAGCAUGGUGACAUGUGGAGCUGACGAAUACUAAUAGAUCGAGGACUUAACCAU